AGUUUGACUAAUAGCAUCUAACAAGCAAAGAAGCUCCAUUUCAGCCACAUUGGUAUGGCUGGUGGGAACGAGAAAGACUGCCUUCUCGACGGUGGCCCCUCAGCUCUGGAACUUUCUCCUUAAGGACAUCAGAAUGGCUCCCUCCCUCUGUCCUUCAGAAAGCAAAUAAAAACUUUUCUUUGGAAGGAAGCUUUUGGGGAAGGCAAUGAGUAAUUGUGUUAAAUGGCAAUGAAUUUUGACUAUGGCAAAGAGAUAC
rnacentral:lncRNA from 11 species